AUUGAACGCUGGCGGCAUGCUUUACACAUGCAAGUCGAACGGCAGCGCGGGCUUCGGCCUGGCGGCGAGUGGCGAACGGGUGAGUAAUACAUCGGAACGUGCCCAGUAGUGGGGGAUAGCUCGGCGAAGGCCGGAUUAAUACCGCAUACGACCUGAGGGUGAAAGCGGGGGAUCUUCGGACCUCGCGCUAUUGGAGCGGCCGAUGGCAGAUUAGCUAGUUGGUGGGGUAAAGGCCUACCAAGGCGACGAUCUGUAGCUGGUCUGAGAGGACGACCAGCCACACUGGGACUGAGACACGGCCCAGACUCCUACGGGAGGCAGCAGUGGGGAAUUUUGGACAAUGGGCGAAAGCCUGAUCCAGCAAUGCCGCGUGUGUGAUGAAGGCCUUCGGGUUGUAAAGCACUUUUGGCGGGAACGAAAAGGACUGUGCCAAUACCACGGUUCGAUGACGGUACCCGCAGAAUAAGCACCGGCUAACUACAUG
rnacentral:rRNA from 1 species